UACGUAGGGUGCAAGCGUUAAUCGGAAUUACUGGGCGUAAAGCGUGCGCAGGCGGUUUUGUAAGUCUGUCGUGAAAGCCCCGGGCUCAACCUGGGAACUGCGGUUGAAACUGGCGAACUAGAAUCUGGCAGAGGGGGGGUGGAAUUCCACGUGUAGCAGUGAAAUGCGUAGAGAUGCGGAGGAACACCGAUGGCGAAGGCAAUCCCCUGGACCUGUACUGACGCUCAUGCACGAAAGCGUGGGGAGCAAACAGG
rnacentral:rRNA from 1 species